GAGUAUAUAGCUCAGUGGUAGAGCCCAUGCUUAGCAUACAUGUGAUGUCCUGGGUUCAAUGCCCAGAACAUCCA
rnacentral:tRNA from 1 species